rnacentral:rRNA from 1 species
CCUACGGGGGGCUGCAGUAGGGAAUCUUCCGCAAUGGGCGCAAGCCUGAUGCAGCCAUGCCGCGUGUGUGAAGAAGGCCUUCGGGUUGUAAAGCACUUUCAGCGGGGAGGAAGGCGUUAAGGUUAAUAACCUUGUCGAUUGACGUUACCCGCAGAAGAAGCACCGGCUAACUCCGUGCCAGCAGCCGCGGUAAUACGGAGGGUGCAAGCGUUAAUCGGAAUUACUGGGCGUAAAGCGCACGCAGGCGGUCUGUCAAGUCGGAUGUGAAAUCCCCGGGCUCAACCUGGGAACUGCAUUCGAAACUGGCAGGCUAGAGUCUUGUAGAGGGGGGUAGAAUUCCAGGUGUAGCGGUGAAAUGCGUAGAGAUCUGGAGGAAUACCGGUGGCGAAGGCGGCCCCCUGGACAAAGACUGACGCUCAGGUGCGAAAGCGUGGGGAGCAAACAGGAUUAGAUACCCCUGUAGUC